rnacentral:rRNA from 1 species
GGGUUGUGAGGUUAAGCGACUAAGCGUACACGGUGGAUGCCCUGGCAGUCAGAGGCGAUGAAGGACGUGCUAAUCUGCGAUAAGCGUCGGUAAGGUGAUAUGAACCGUUAUAACCGGCGAUUUCCGAAUGGGGAAACCCAGUGUGUUUCGACACACUAUCAUUAACUGAAUCCAUAGGUUAAUGAGGCGAACCGGGGGAACUGAAACAUCUAAGUACCCCGAGGAAAAGAAAUCAACCGAGAUUCCCCCAGUAGCGGCGAGCGAACGGGGAGCAGCCCAGAGCCUGAAUCAGUGUGUGUGUUAGUGGAAGCGUCUGGAAAGGCGCGCGAUACAGGGUGACAGCCCCGUACACAAAAAUGCACAUGUUGUGAGCUCGAUGAGUAGGGCGGGACACGUGGUAUCCUGUCUGAAUAUGGGGGGACCAUCCUCCAAGGCUAAAUACUCCUGACUGACCGAUAGUGAACCAGUACCGUGAGGGAAAGGCGAAAAGAACCCCGGCGAGGGGAGUGAAAAAGAACCUGAAACCGUGUACGUACAAGCAGUGGGAGCACGCUUAGGCGUGUGACUGCGUACCUUUUGUAUAAUGGGUCAGCGACUUAUAUUCUGUAGCAAGGUUAACCGAAUAGGGGAGCCGAAGGGAAACCGAGUCUUAACUGGGCGUUAAGUUGCAGGGUAUAGACCCGAAACCCGGUGAUCUAGCCAUGGGCAGGUUGAAGGUUGGGUAACACUAACUGGAGGACCGAACCGACUAAUGUUGAAAAAUUAGCGGAUGACUUGUGGCUGGGGGUGAAAGGCCAAUCAAACCGGGAGAUAGCUGGUUCUCCCCGAAAGCUAUUUAGGUAGCGCCUCGUGAAUUCAUCUCCGGGGGUAGAGCACUGUUUCGGCAAGGGGGUCAUCCCGACUUACCAACCCGAUGCAAACUGCGAAUACCGGAGAAUGUUAUCACGGGAGACACACGGCGGGUGCUAACGUCCGUCGUGAAGAGGGAAACAACCCAGACCGCCAGCUAAGGUCCCAAAGUCAUGGUUAAGUGGGAAACGAUGUGGGAAGGCCCAGACAGCCAGGAUGUUGGCUUAGAAGCAGCCAUCAUUUAAAGAAAGCGUAAUAGCUCACUGGUCGAGUCGGCCUGCGCGGAAGAUGUAACGGGGCUAAACCAUGCACCGAAGCUGCGGCAGCGACGCUGAUGCGUUGUUGGGUAGGGGAGCGUUCUGUAAGCCUGCGAAGGUGUGCUGUGAGGCAUGCUGGAGGUAUCAGAAGUGCGAAUGCUGACAUAAGUAACGAUAAAGCGGGUGAAAAGCCCGCUCGCCGGAAGACCAAGGGUUCCUGUCCAACGUUAAUCGGGGCAGGGUGAGUCGACCCCUAAGGCGAGGCCGAAAGGCGUAGUCGAUGGGAAACAGGUUAAUAUUCCUGUACUUGGUGUUACUGCGAAGGGGGGACGGAGAAGGCUAUGUUGGCCGGGCGACGGUUGUCCCGGUUUAAGCGUGUAGGCUGGUUUUCCAGGCAAAUCCGGAAAAUCAAGGCUGAGGCGUGAUGACGAGGCACUACGGUGCUGAAGCAACAAAUGCCCUGCUUCCAGGAAAAGCCUCUAAGCAUCAGGUAACAUCAAAUCGUACCCCAAACCGACACAGGUGGUCAGGUAGAGAAUACCAAGGCGCUUGAGAGAACUCGGGUGAAGGAACUAGGCAAAAUGGUGCCGUAACUUCGGGAGAAGGCACGCUGAUAUGUAGGUGAAGUCCCUCGCGGAUGGAGCUGAAAUCAGUCGAAGAUACCAGCUGGCUGCAACUGUUUAUUAAAAACACAGCACUGUGCAAACACGAAAGUGGACGUAUACGGUGUGACGCCUGCCCGGUGCCGGAAGGUUAAUUGAUGGGGUCAGCGCAAGCGAAGCUCUUGAUCGAAGCCCCGGUAAACGGCGGCCGUAACUAUAACGGUCCUAAGGUAGCGAAAUUCCUUGUCGGGUAAGUUCCGACCUGCACGAAUGGCGUAAUGAUGGCCAGGCUGUCUCCACCCGAGACUCAGUGAAAUUGAACUCGCUGUGAAGAUGCAGUGUACCCGCGGCAAGACGGAAAGACCCCGUGAACCUUUACUAUAGCUUGACACUGAACAUUGAGCCUUGAUGUGUAGGAUAGGUGGGAGGCUUUGAAGUGUGGACGCCAGUCUGCAUGGAGCCGACCUUGAAAUACCACCCUUUAAUGUUUGAUGUUCUAACGUUGACCCGUAAUCCGGGUUGCGGACAGUGUCUGGUGGGUAGUUUGACUGGGGCGGUCUCCUCCUAAAGAGUAACGGAGGAGCACGAAGGUUGGCUAAUCCUGGUCGGACAUCAGGAGGUUAGUGCAAUGGCAUAAGCCAGCUUGACUGCGAGCGUGACGGCGCGAGCAGGUGCGAAAGCAGGUCAUAGUGAUCCGGUGGUUCUGAAUGGAAGGGCCAUCGCUCAACGGAUAAAAGGUACUCCGGGGAUAACAGGCUGAUACCGCCCAAGAGUUCAUAUCGACGGCGGUGUUUGGCACCUCGAUGUCGGCUCAUCACAUCCUGGGGCUGAAGUAGGUCCCAAGGGUAUGGCUGUUCGCCAUUUAAAGUGGUACGCGAGCUGGGUUUAGAACGUCGUGAGACAGUUCGGUCCCUAUCUGCCGUGGGCGCUGGAGAACUGAGGGGGGCUGCUCCUAGUACGAGAGGACCGGAGUGGACGCAUCACUGGUGUUCGGGUUGUCAUGCCAAUGGCACUGCCCGGUAGCUAAAUGCGGAAGAGAUAAGUGCUGAAAGCAUCUAAGCACGAAACUUGCCCCGAGAUGAGUUCUCCCUGACCCUUUAAGGGUCCUGAAGGAACGUUGAAGACGACGACGUUGAUAGGCCGGGUGUGUAAGCGCAGCGAUGCGUUGAGCUAACCGGUACUAAUGAACCGUGAGGCUUAACCUUACAACGCCGAAG